rnacentral:rRNA from 1 species
CCUACGGGUGGCUGCAGUCGAGAAUCAUUCACAAUGGGGGAAACCCUGAUGGUGCGACGCCGCGUGGGGGAAUGAAGGUCUUCGGAUUGUAAACCCCUGUCAUGUGGGAGCAAAUUAAAAAGAUAGUAGCACAAGAGGAAGCGACGGCGAACUCUGUGGCAGCAGCCGCGGUAAUACGGAGGUCUCAAGCGUUAUUCGGAAUCACUGGGCGUAAAGCGUGCGUAGGCUGUUUAGUAAGUCGGGUGUGAAAGGCGAGGGCUUAACCCGCGAACGGCACAUGAUACUGCGAUACUAGAGUAAUGGAGGGGGAACCGGAAUUCUCGGUGUAGCGGUAAAAUGCGUAGAGAUCGAGAGGAACACUCGUGGCGAAGGCGAGUUCCUAGACAUUAACUGACGCUGAGGCGCGAAGGCCAGGGGAGCAAAAGGGAUUAGAUACCCCUGUAGUC